GUUAAGAGCACUAACUGCUCUUCCAGAGGUCCUGAGUUUAAUUCCCAGCAACCAUCUGUUGGCUCACAACCAUCUGUAACCCGAUGCCCUCUUCUGGUGUGUCUGAAGAUAGCAACAGUGUACUCAUAUACAUAAAAUAGAACAUCUUCAGAUUAUAGAAAGCUAACUUCAUUGGUAAGUUCCACGUGUUUGAAGAAUAAAAGAACAGAUCAGUCUUAGUCGGUGAUCUAUUGCUGUGAGGAAACACUGACCAUGGCAACUCUUAGAAAGGAAAGCAUUUAAUUGAAGGCUUGCUUACAGAUUCAGAGAUUCAGUCUGUUGUCAUCAUGGCAGGUAGCAUGACAGCAGGCACAUUCUGGCAAACAUGGUGCUUGAGAAGUAACUGAGAGCUACAUUUAAAAACAAAACAAAAAACCUUUUCUUGAUUCUUUGUGAAUUUUACAUCAUACACCAGAACCCCACUCAUCUCACCUUGCAACUCCUCCCCCAAAAGAAAGAAAAAUUUCGUUGUGCAAGCUGUAGUGUGUCCCACAAUAUACCGCUUUGUCCACACAUCUUUACUUGCAAAUGUUCAUUGCAACGAGUCAUUGAUUUGGUGGUUCGUUGCCCCAGGCUUCUGCCACACUUUUAAUACUGGAUCCUUACUAGCACUCCUCUCAGAUAUCCUGUUGUUGUCCUGUAUCAUGGAGAACCUGCAGCUUUAGCUUUGCAGUAUUGGCCCCUUCAUGCAAUAGUAGUUCAUAGAUGGGUAGAUGAUGGGGUGGGCCAACUCAAAGCUCUGGAUCUGGUCUAGGUAAUAGAUGCGUUGGUCAGCCUGCCAGCUUCCUGCCCAAGCACCCACUGGUACCACCAGUGCAAGCUUUCCAGCACUGCCCUAGCUCACCCAGUGCUGCAGCUGGCAAGGGACAGGGCCAGCUCUCCUGCUCUCAUGCCCUCAGGUCCAGCUCACCAGCACUUUGCCACUGUGGUCUGCUCUACUGUGCUGCCUUCGUCCUGGAGGUACAGUGCCCAUUCUCCCAAGUGCUGUAGCCUGCAAAGGGCUUUCUUGAUCUUAUGAUGGAGGUAGGAGGGUAAGGACAGGCAGAGGGUUGAGCAACAUCUCUUUUGCACCCUUGUAAGAGCUACAGUCUUACCCCGUUAGAGAAAGAGUGUGGUUCAUGCUUUUUCCCACUCUCCGUGACACACAUUCUUCAAUAAGGCCAUGCCUCCUAAUAAUAUGUAUUAUUGUAUUCAACUAUAUGAUCCUAUAUGGACCAUUUUUACUCAAAUCAGCACAGGGUCAAAGAUGUCCUGUUUUGAAGAAACUCUGUCUCUACCCAGCCUUGAAAAUAAGAGUGAUGCCAGGAAACUAUGGAGCAAUUAAGAGAAGACCCCCGAAGUUUAAAAUAUCCAGGAUAUGCUGUUACCCUCUAUUAAUGAAGCAGAACAGAUAUUGUUGCAUUCCCAAAAAUUUCCACAGAGGAAACUCAGCAUCUGCCUAUGCUUUUUUCCCCCUAACAUAAACAGAUGCUGAAGUUGCCUGUGCUGUGUGUGAUUGCUACAGUCACAGUGAAAACUAUAAAGUGUCUUUAAGAGAGGAACAACACCGUCCCUCUUUUAGCUAUAUUAAUGCUAUACUCUCACACAAAGGGAAAGAGCAUAUGGGGACAGCUUGUGUUUUCUCAAGUUUCCUGUGCUUGACCUGUGAAUUCCUGUGACUGUCUGCUAGGCACUUAAAGGCCUGAAAGUAAACUCUUCCUUUAUUUUAUGCCAGGCAUUAUUUAAAAGUAGAUUUACCACCUAUACAAAAAUGGCAGUCAGCAGUGCUAACGUACAGUUUCAUUCUAAAGGUAAAAUGUCAUAGGAGAUGAAUGCCCAUUUGAUUGUGUUUCCUGUCAUUGGAGGUGGCCAAAGUGUGCUAGGAGUUUAAAGGAAACUGGAUUUUUUUAACCCCAGUAUAAUAGGAAAGAUGUAUUUUAUAAAUAUUAGUAUGACAAAAUCAAAUAUAUUCAAGUGAUUUAGCUUAUAGGUACUUUUAGCAAGAUUUCAAAAAAAGUUAUAUGACUUUCAAAAUUAGUAUAACAGGAUACUAACCACAUGUACAAAUACAAAUGUACAUGUAUAAAUUUUUGGGUUUUUUAAAAACAUAGUGGGCCUAAAUGAGAUACAAAAAAAAUCUGAAAGCAUUGCCCUUUCUGAAUUCUAGCUAAUGCCAUGUAUAUUGUCAGCAUGACACCAGGAGGUAUGCUAUCCUAUUUGGAACUAAUACCAUUUUUUAAAAACUUGAUAUUUUAAAUUUUGGUAUUUUAAUAUAUUAAAUCUUUUGUUGUUCAGCCAUAAUUUUCUUUUGAUAUAUAAGUGUAAUAUUUUUUGAUGCUUAGCCUAAAGGGAUUAAAAAAAAUCCAUUUUGUAAAUGUGGUAAAAAUUUAAGUGUUUUAAUGAUAAUAAUAAGGUACAUUAAGAUAAUCUUAACAUCUUGAAAAACC
rnacentral:lncRNA from 1 species